rnacentral:rRNA from 1 species
CCUUGUACACACCGCCCGUCAAGCCACGAAAGUGGGAGGGCGUCGAAGUCGCCGAGCGAACCCGUAAGGGACGCAAGCGCCGAAACGCAAUUCCGCGAUUGGACU